rnacentral:rRNA from 1 species
GUAGGGCGCAAGCGUUAUCCGGAAUUAUUGGGCGUAAAGAGCUCGUAGGCGGUUCGUCGCGUCUGCCGUGAAAGUCCGGGGCUCAACUCCGGAUCUGCGGUGGGUACGGGCAGACUAGAGUGAUGUAGGGGAGACUGGAAUUCCUGGUGUAGCGGUGAAAUGCGCAGAUAUCAGGAGGAACACCGAUGGCGAAGGCAGGUCUCUGGGCAUUAACUGACGCUGAGGAGCGAAAGCAUGGGGAGCGAACAGGAUUAGAUACCCUGGUAGUCCAUGCCGUAAACGCUGGGCACUAGGUGUGGGGGACAUUCCACGUUUUCCGCGCCGUAGCUAACGCAUUAAGUGCCCCGCCUGGGGAGUACGGCCGCAAGGCUA